rnacentral:rRNA from 1 species
GAUGAACGCUGGCGGCGUGCCUAAUACAUGCAAGUCGAGCGAACAGACCAGGAGCUCUUGCUUUCGACGUCAGCGGCGGACGGGCGAGUAACACGUAGGUAACCAACCUAUCAGACUGGGAUAAAUACGGGAAACCGGAUCUAAUUCCGGACAAAAUUUCGCACCUCAUGGUUUGAUAGUGCAAGAAGGCUUUUCUUCCACUUAUAGAUGGACCUGCGCCGUAUUAGCUAUUUGGUAAGGUAACGGCUUACCAAGGCAACGCUACGUAGCCGACCUGAGAGGGUGAUCAGCCACACUGGAACUGAGACGCGGUCCAGACUCCUACGGGAGGCAGCAGUAGGGAAUCUUACGCAAUGGGAGGAGGCCUGGCGGAACAACGCCGCGUGGGUGAUAAAAGUCUUCGGAUCUGAAAACUCUGUUAUUAGGGAGGAACAAUCGUGUAAGUAACUGUGCACGUAUUGACGGUACCUAAUCAAAAAGCCACGGCUAACUACGUG